CUCUUUUUUAACAAACGGCCCCAGGGAUAGGAGACGGGGAGGGGGAAGGAGGGAAAAUGAGGCUCCAGCCCCACUGCCCCUCCCCGCCCGCCCUUUUCCCCUUAUAUAUUUAUAAUCUAUAUACAAGCCCGGGGUGGGGCGGGGCCGGGGCCUCCCUCAGCGGGGCGGGGGCAAUCCAGGCUCCUUGUCCCCUCGGGGCCCAGGCUCCUCUGCCCUCCGGGGAGGCCCCUCUCGACAGGGUGGGCCUGUGCGCUCCCAAGGCUUCGGCAUCCAGCGCAGGGCGUCCGGAGGGGAGGCCUAAGGGAUAGGUCCAUGUGCAGGAGGAGUCAGUGCUCGAUCAGGAACUCAGUGGCAGCUCUUGACCCGAGACGGGGGCUACAGGGCUUCUCCCUCACCUGCUGGUAGAGCUCGAUGCGCUGAGCACGGAAUACCCCGCUGUAGGUGGCAGGCGGGGCCUUGAGACGGGAACUGAGAGCAGGGAAGGACCUGAGGGAGAAAGGCUGUGUAAAGCCUGCUAAUGCCAAGCCCUUGGCCCCAGCGUAUGUAAAAUCCAGGGGACAGGAGUCUGCACCCCAACCCAGCUCACCUUCCAGCCGGGGGAGCACGCGAUGACCCAGAUCCCCCAAGGCUGCUGCUCAGCUUUCUGUAAUCCUGGAACGGCUUUAGUUCUACUGGGUGCAGCUAAAGGAAAGAAUUCCUAAGCCGCCUGCCUCUCACCCCUCAUUCUGAGACCCGGAAUCCCUAGCCCUACUGUCCCUGUCCCUUACCUCCGCUCGCCCCAAGCUUGGGGGGAAGGGCCUGGCAGGUGAAGGCAGCACCCGAGCGGCAGGAGCAGGUGGGGGCCGCACAGCCAGGCUGGGAGGCUGCAGAGCAGGCCCCAUGGGUAGCAGGGAAAGGGGAGGCGGCGCAGGGGGCGCAGGAGGCAGCGAGCCAAAGUUCACCACAGGCAGCUGUGAGUCCACCACAGGCAGCAGCAUCUGGAACAGACCACAGAGUGUGCACACUGGGCCAGGGGAGGUGGUGUUGGGGGAGAAGAGAAAGAAGGAAAGUGGGCAGAAAGAGAGAGGGAAGUGGGGCCAUCAAAGGUACCUGCUGGGCCGGGGCCCCUGAAGAAAGGAAGCCGCUCUGUCCACCAGGCUGCAAAGGAGCAGAGUAAAAAUCCGAAGGGGAUGGCAGAUCUUGGCGUACCUGCGAGGGAAUAGGUGGACGCACGCCGACUCCCCUACAAGCGUCCUCCCAGCCCCCGCCUGCCCAGCUCUUACCUGAAGCAAGGGCGGGUCCGGCAAAGGGCUAGGGCAGAAAGCAGGAGAGUAGAGGAAGGAAGGCGGAGGGCAGAGAACUCCAGCUGGCAACUUCCCCAGCUCUGCCGCUUGCAGCACUGAGAAGUCCAGAAACUGACCCUUGAGAGCUACCCCAGAGAGCAGUGCUGCGGGUGGGGCUGGGCCGGGGGGGAGGUACAGGGGCUGGGACCUAAAAUGAAACGGGGGAGGACUGGGUUACCACUCCAGAGUAAGUUACUGGGUCCGAGCAACCCCUGAAUCCACUAGCCUCUGGCAUCUGACACUGCGUCUUCCCCUUCCCUCCCUGCACCCUAACCCCACGGCCUUGUGAGGGGUGCAGACGUCUAUCGAGUCCUACCUGUAAGGGUGCAGCGAGGGUGUGCCAGGGCGGAAGCUUCCAUUGUUGGGGUGUAACUGGGAGUCCAGGGCUCCCCCAGAGACCUAAGAGCAGAGUUGCAAGAGCUCGUGUCUGGUCAAGAAAAACUCACCCAUCCCACCCACUGCGCUGAAAAAUGGAAAAACAAGAGGAGCGAUGGUGUUUUACAAGUGAACAGCUCAGGCUGUUAUGAGACAGCGAGCAGAGAAAGGUGAGUACUCAUCUAGGGGAAUGAGGUGAAAAGUGGGAGUCACCUGAGAACCGGGCGGCCCAGGGCUGCCGUAGAGGACCUCCGGGUACAGGCGCUGGCCUGAGGAGCUGGGCUCUGGGCCACAGUGCCCGGAAGCCAAGUUCUUGGGCUGUGGCUCAGCCGGGCCAGACACGCUGGGCGGCAGCUCCCACUCUCGGGACAGCAGGGUGGCCUGGCCAGAGAGGGCUCGUCAAGCCAGGUCUGCCAGCCAGGUCAUGCCCAGCAUCCCCACCCCAACCUCAGGCCUCCCACCAAACGUGCUCCGCCCACCUCGGGAACUGACGCCGCCGUGAGCCCCUUCUCUGCUUUCAGGUCGUCUCCCACCCCCAGGCGCAGGUCCGAGUCCUGGAAUGGCGAGGGGAGGGAGGAGGAAGCACCCCAUGAUUGAGGCGCGUGCCGCCCACGUCCCACCUGCAGUCCUUCCCUUCUUUCCACUCAGCCCAGCCCCUGCAGACCUUGUCGCUCGUGCCGAACUGGACUGGAGGACCAGGUCGAUGGGACGGCCGGAGGGGGCCUGGCUCUGGUCCUCUGUCCACAUGCUGGGGUCGUUCUGUGCCUAUGGGGCCGGGGGGCAGAGGCUGCUCCCUGGGCAGCUCCUGGAGUGGGGAACAGAGCCAAGUGGAGGCGGUGGGAGGAGAGGGAAAGCCACGUAGGGAACCCCAAGCACAGCAGCGAGGGGAGGCUGGAGACUGUCUCUGCGUCCUCCCCUUGGCCUUCUGACCUUGCUUUCCCCAUCGUGGGGCGUGGGCACCCGUCUCCUGGGAGGAUCCGAGGUUUCAGGGACCGCACUCAGGGGCGAGGGGCCUCCGGGCUGUGUGGGGGGUCCCUCUGCUGGCCCCUUGAGUCCUCCGUCAGGGGAACUUCGCUGGCUGCAGGGCCCUGAUGACACCUGUGAGUCCCCACUCAGGUCCACCCCGCUGUCAGACUGACUCAUCUGAGGACAGAAACAGGUCAGGGUAGAAAGCACCCCGUACCCAGCAGACGCACACAGAGACAACCCUAGGAAACGUGAGAGGGGAGGGCAGCUCAGCCCUGCCCAGCGCCUGCUGCGCCGCCCACCCCUCUCACCUCCGGCGCCAGCCACAUCCUCAAACGGACUCAGAGGCUCCAUCCAAGGCUCCACGGAGCCGGGCCGGUAACUCUUCCGGCUGGUGGCUGGAGGGAGCACCACGACCGGGACGGGGACAGGGACAGAAGACAGCUCUGAAGCUCAGCCCCUGGCGGCCCCUCCCCAGGGCCUCCCCUCCGUGCGCCUACUCACCAGUGUGCAGCCGGUCCCAGAGGCGGGAAGGCAGGGCCUCAGCGUCGGCCUCUCUGGAGUCUGCCCGAGGGCCCAGGGCCUCGGGCUUUGAGCCCAAGAAGCCAGAGCCGUGAGGAGCAGGCAGGGGCUCCUAUAGAUAGGAAAGGCCGGGGACAUGAAGCAGGGGACUGGGGAAUGCAGAGUUGCAACAGGGCGAGGCAGAGGGGCAACAAGGGAGAUGUGUGCACAGCGCAGGCUCCCAGUGAGAACCAGGAGGGGCCGUGAGGACACCGGAGGGUCUUCCCAAGGGAGGAGCAGCACCGCCCCGGCCCUCACCUCCUGCGGCAGCUCUGGUUUCCGAGGUCGCUCCGCUCCCGUUCCCGCCGGGUUUGUGGGGGAAGGGCUCAGCAACCCCAGUAGAGUCCUGGGAGCCCCGCCCUGCCUCCUCACCACUGGCCCUGGCUCCUCCAAGUGAGGCUCUGAGGGAGAAGAGAACUAUCAGCCUCUGCCCGUCCGGGCAUCCUAGCUCUUCCAUCCCUCGCCUCCCAUUCUUUCCCCACUGCUUACUGCAGGUCACAGCAGCAGGGCCCCAGGACCUGGCCUCCUCUGGGGACGGAGACCUUCCCAGCCCUACCUGGUCCCUCUUACCGGAACUGCCGCCACCAGUAGCCCUCUGGGGGUCGAAUCUGGUUGGGGGCCGAGGGGCUGAGCCCUGAGGGCCUGAGACGGCCCAGGCUUAGGCCUUGGAGUGACCCCCUGUGCUGCUAUGCUCCCCUGGCGGCUGCUCAGCUGGGCCAGGGCCUGUUGGAUGCCCGCAGGGGUUGCUGUGGAUAACUUGGUCCAGGCGGAGAGACGGCAGAACUGCUGGGUGGUGGGGGAGGCAAGGGAAGGCCUGAGCGGACGCUCCUCUGGAGGACGGCUAAGGGGAAGCAGGCAGGCAGGGCAGGGCAGGGCAGGGCAGGGCAUCAGCUCCAAGGCUCACUGGACUGUCACCGACCCUUCCCUACCAGUCCAGCCUGCACCUCCUGAUUUCUCCCCCUCUGAACCCAAAUGUCCUUUCCUGUCCAAACCCGACUUUCUAAGCUGCUCUGGGUUUUACAGGCCUCAGUCUACAGACUGAGACCUGACUGCACCAAGUGCUUCCAGCCCAGGAAGCCACGAGCUUGGGAGGAGCCCACUGCCUGCAGGUCCUGGCGAGCCCCCAGCAGCCAGUCCCCCACCUUCGGUUCUUGGGUGAGGGCCAGCUCCUCUUGUCUCUUCCGGGCCCGGUCCUGCCCCCAGGACCUCCUCCACUGCUGCCGGCCUUGGCCCCCGUGCCUGGACGCCGGUUCUGCCGAUCCAUGCUGGGCCUCUGGCUAGAGAAGCUCCGCUUGCUCAGAUCCUUGGCCCUCUGGCUCAGGUCUCCAAGGGACAUGGUAGGAAGGGGUGGAUCCGGCAGCACCUGCACUGCCCCCAGGGGCCCCCACAGCCUUUGGGGUCAGAAGUGCUGGCGCAGUGGAGUCUCCUUGUCACCCCGCCACUGGCAAAGUCGCUGCUCUCCGGCGCUGAGUCUCCCACUCCUCGUUUGCUUGAUCCGAGUUCUGGUUCGACAGAUCAGGAGACUUUGCAGCUGCCCUUCGAGGCGGGGAGGCCAGCAGGGCCAGGGGACAGGGCUUGCCCUCUGUCCCCGGGCAGCGUUCUCCCGCUCCUGCUUCAGCCUGCGGAACCUUGGUGGCUUGUCCUGCUGCUGGGCCCGACCGUGCGCACGCCUGCGGCGGGCGCGCUCCCCGUCUUCUACUACACCCAUGCUGGCCCCUCCACGGGCCAGGGGGAGACAGAGGCCCUGGGACCAGCCUCUCCUUCGCGGGCUCCUUACUCAGGGGCAGAGGGCCCGCAGGAGGCUUCCUUGGAACCAGGGACUUGCCCGGAGGACUCCAGCCCGGGCAGACGGGAGGGGGCCGCCCGCCACCCCUGCCCCGGCGCGAUGGCACCCCUCUCGGAGUGAAGACGCGCCCGCCGCGGGCAGCGGGAAAGCGGGCUGGGGCCGGCGAGGGGGGCGCGCCUGGCAGGGCCCCGAGAGGGGCCGGGAUGAGCGCAGCCUCCUUGGGCGGGGGCGCCUCCUUGUCUGAAGGGGCCAGGUCGCUCUCGUGCGUCUCGCUGCCUGUCUCUGAGCCUCGCUGCCGGCGCCGCUUGGGGAUUUCCUCGUACUCUGAGCCCUCGCUCCGGGUCUCACUGGCAGUGCGGCCUCGGGGAGCAGAGGGGUGGCCCGGUGGCCCUGUCGCCCCUGCACGCCCAUCGUCCCCACGGAACUCCCGGUAACUGCGGAACUCUCGGCUUCGGGCUCCCCGGCCCCGCCCCCCAUAGGUCCCCCGAAAUCCCCUCCCUCUGGCAAAAUACUCUCCUCGGCCCCGACCCCGGCAAGAGGCAGGGCCCACUCUCUCGUAAGAAUAGUCCCUCCGAAGCCGCGGUGCCGGGGACAGGUUCCCACUGGGUGGGGUCUCCUUGGGCCCCAGCUUCCCCUUGGCCGUCUUGAGUGGAUCUGGCUUUGGAGCCUUUGGGGUCUCGUCCCCCUGCUCCAGGGGUGGAGGAGGCAGCUCUUCAGCUUUUGCAGGUGGCGUUGGUUUCUUGAUAGGCCCGGCCCGGCGGGGAGGGGCCCCCGGCUCCUCGGGAGGGACCCCACGGCGGCUGCCCCCGGCGAGGGCCCCAACGCGUCUCCGUGCGGCUCUCUCUGCGCUGGCGGGCGGGGCCCCUGGCCUCCAAGGCCCCGGGUGGGCUUGCGGCCUGCUUCCGGCACUGCCAGCUGCGCAGUCUCCUCCUUGAGGGGCUCCUUCUUAGGCGGGGGAGCUUGUAUUUUGGCAGCGUCUUCAUUGCCUGGGGGCCAGGGGAGUGGACGGGGCCCCGAGGGAGCGGGCUCCUCCAGAGGGAAUCGAGAGAUGGGAGGCCCAGGGGUUCCGUUCUCUGGAAAGCCAGGGUAACUGGCCAGAUAGGGGGGGGGGGGCAGGCCCUGGAGGGGUCUCGCUCCUGAAGACGAGACAAAACAGAACAGAAGGAAGUAUGUCAGACCGAAGGGAACCGCAAGGGGUGGGGACGAAACUCUCAGCUGCUGGCCGGCCUUUCCUGUCCACCCCUAGCACCUCCCCG
rnacentral:lncRNA from 1 species